ACGGGAGGCAGCAGUGAGGAAUAUUGGUCAAUGGACGGAAGUCUGAACCAGCCAAGUCGCGUGAAGGAUGAAGGUAUUAUGUAUUGUAAACUUCUUUAGCAGUGGAGUAAUAAGGGGAUCGCGAUCCCUGAUGCAAGUACACUGAGAAUAAGGAUCGGCUAACUCCGUGCCAGCAGCCGCGGUAAUACGGAGGAUCCGAGCGUUAUCCGGAUUUAUUGGGUUUAAAGGGUGCGCAGGCGGCUUUUUAAGUCAGUGGUUAAAUCGUGACGCUCAACGUCAUCACGCCAUUGAUACUGGAGAGCUUGAUUGCGGUCGAGGUUUGCGGAAUUCGUUGUGUAGCGGUGAAAUGCUUAGAUAUGACGAAGAACUCCGAUUGCGGAGGCAGCUGACUGUAGCGUUACUGACGCUGAAGCUCGAAAGUGUGGGUAUCGAACAGGAUUAGAUACCCUGGUA
rnacentral:rRNA from 1 species